AUGAACGCUGGCGGCGUGCCUAAUGCAUGCAAGUCGAGCGAACGGACGAGAAGCUUGCUUCUCUGAUGUUAGCGGCGGACGGGUGAGUAACACGUGGAUAACCUACCUAUAAGACUGGGAUAACUUCGGGAAACCGUAGCUAAUACCGGAUAAUAUUUUGAACCGCCUGGUUCAAAAGUGAAAGCCGGUCUUGCUGUCACUUAUAGAUGGAUCCGCGCUGCAUUAGCUAGUUGGUAAGGUAACGGCUUACCAAGGCAACGAUGCAUAGCCGACCUGAGAGGGUGAUCGGCCACACUGGAACUGAGACACGGUCCAGACUCCUACGGGAGGCAGCAGUAGGGAAUCUUCCGCAAUGGGCGAAAGCCUGACGGAGCAACGCCGCGUGAGUGAUGAAGGUCUUCGGAUCGUAAAACUCUGUUAUUAGGGAAGAACAUAUGUGUAAGUAACUGUGCACAUCUUGACGGUACCUAAUCAGAAAGCCACGGCUAACUACGUG
rnacentral:rRNA from 1 species